GAUGAACGCUAGCGGCAGGCUUAACACAUGCAAGUCGUGGGGCAGCGCGGACUUCGGUCUGGCGGCGACCGGCAAACGGGUGCGGAACACGUACGCAACCUCCCUCAGAGCGGGGAAUAGCCUCUCGAAAGAGAGAUUAAUACCCCAUAGUAUCUUGAAGACACAUGUCUAUGAGAUUAAAGCUUCGGCACUUUGAGAUGGGCGUGCGGCUGAUUAGGUAGUUGGUAGGGUAACGGCCUACCAAGCCGACGAUCAGUAGCUGAUGUGAGAGCAUGAUCAGCCACACGGGC
rnacentral:rRNA from 1 species